rnacentral:lncRNA from 1 species
UUAAAUUCACUAGAAUGGAAUGUAAAUUUUUACCCAUUUCUAGUGAUUUUUAUAUUUUUGUGAUUGUUUUAACUUAAUCUAGCUAACCUGGGGAUUAACAAAUUGUUAAAUGUUUUAGAUCAUGCCAUUGAUUAUUUUGAAGUGUUUUUGAAGUUUGAGGAUAGAUUAUUAAGUUUGGUUGUUAAAUAGGAUUAUUUUGUAAAGUAAUUUUUAGUGAUUU